rnacentral:rRNA from 1 species
CAGAUGGCGACCGGCGCACGGGUGAGUAACACGUAUCAACCUGCCGCUUACUCGGGGAUAGCCUUUCGAAAGAAAGAUUAAUACCCGAUGGUAUAAAGAGUUCGCAUGUUCUCUUUAUUAAGAAUUUCGGUAAGCGAUGGGGAUGCGUUCCAUUAGAUUGUUGGCGGGUAACGGCCCACCAAGUCUACGAUGGAUAGGGGUUCUGAGAGGAAGGUCCCCCACAUUGGAACUGAGACACGGUCCAAACUCCUACGGGAGGCAGCAGUGAGGAAUAUUGGUCAAUGGACGAGAGUCUGAACCAGCCAAGUAGCGUGAAGGAUGACUGCCCUAUGGGGUUGUAAACUUCUUUUAUAAGGGAAUAAAGUGAGGGACGUGUCCCUUUUUGUAUGUACCUUAUGAAUAAGGAUCGGCUAACUCCGUGCCAGCAGCAGCGGUCAGGUGCCAGCCGCCGC